rnacentral:lncRNA from 1 species
GGAGACUGUUAGCCUUAUACAGAAGAGAUGUUACAUUUUAAUAUUAUAUUAUUUAAUACUAUAUCUUUUCCCAUUUAUUUUAUUUCUUUUUCAGUUAAUAUUAUAAAGGCAGUUAAUAUUCUGAAAGUGGCUCAUUUUAAAUAAAAACUAUUUUCAAACGUGUGUGGGUGUGCCCAUAAUUCCCGUAACAAUCUCUUCUAACUAUAUAAAAUACUCCGUG